rnacentral:rRNA from 1 species
UACGGGGGGAGCAAGCGUUGUUCGGAUUUACUGGGCGUAAAGGGCGCGUAGGCGGCCAGCACAAGUCAGUGGUGAAAUCUCCGAGCUUAACUCGGAAAGGUCAACUGAUACUGUGCGGCUAGAGUGCAGAAGGGGCAACUGGAAUUCUUGGUGUAGCGGUGAAAUGCGUAGAUAUCAAGAGGAACACCUGCGGCGAAGGCGGGUUGCUGGGCUGACACUGACGCUGAGGCGCGAAAGCUAGGGGAGCGAACGGG